rnacentral:rRNA from 1 species
AGCAGCCGCGGUAAUUCCAGCUCCAAUAGCGUAUAUUAAAGUUGUUGCAGUUAAAAAGCUCGUAGUUGAAUUUCGGGGUUAGUAGAUUGGUCAUGCCUCUGGUAUGUACUGGUCUCACUGAUUUCUCCUUCCUGAUGAUCCGUAAUGCCAUUAAUUUGGUGUUGCGGGGAAUUUGGACUGUUACUUUGAAAAAAUUAGAGUGUUUAAAGCAAGCUAACGCUUGAAUACAUUAGCAUGGAAUAAUGAAAUAGGACGUUCGAUCCUAUUUUGUUGGUUUCUAGGAUUGACGUAAUGAUUAAUAGGGAUAGUUGGGGGCAUUAGUAUUCAAUUGUCAGAGGUGAAAUUCUUGGAUUUAUUGAAGACUAACUACUGCGAAAGCAUUUGCCAAGGAUGUUUUCAUUAAUCAAGAACGAAAGUUAGGGGAUCGAAGACGAUCAGAUACCGUCGUAGUCUUAACCAUAAACUAUGCCGACUAGGGAUCGGAUGAUGUUAAUUUUUUAAUGACUCA